rnacentral:lncRNA from 14 species
CUGUAACUGAGUAAGGUUACUCCUUUGUAAGGUCUUCAGCUUCACAGUCCUCUCAACUAGUGCAAUGCAGUUAGCGUCAAGCCAAAUUUACAAGCCAGGAGAGCCUGACAUCAGCGGGAGUUGUCUCACAAAGGAGCAUACAAUGUGACUCCAGAAGAGGACCAAAAUGCUGUAACUCAAAAAAGCUGUGGAGAGGGAACUCUGAAAGAAGUUCACAGUCAGGAGCUGACAAUAGUUCCCUAAGGCUGAACAUGUCACUGAUCCAGGCAAGCAGUGCUGGCCACAGCUGGCUCUUCUCCUAGAGAAGGCUUCAGAGGACACAGCCAGCACAUUCCUGCAAAAGUCAGCCCUGCUCCCUCACAUACUCAGGCCUGGCACAGGACUUGGACAGCCUGCAAGGCAUCUGUGAUCCGAGAGCAACAGAAUCACCACCUUUGGUACACAGGGUCAGUGGCAUGAACAUUUAUUUAUUUUUUUCCCUUGAUUGUUUUCUGACUCUUGCUUGCUGGUGUUAUUAAGUAUAGCCUGAUUUGUUUCUCCCUAAAUUAAAUGUUUUGUUUAAUCUCAAAUGAACUGUCUUAAUUGGUUGAGUAUGUGGAAAUAUUUCAGUCUGGGAUUGCUAUAAAC